rnacentral:rRNA from 1 species
CCUACGGGUGGCAGCAGUGAGGAAUAUUGGUCAAUGGACGAGAGUCUGAACCAGCCAAGUAGCGUGAAGGAUGACUGCCCUACGGGUUGUAAACUUCUUUUAUAUGGGAAUAAAAUGUUCCACGUGUGGGAUUUUGUAUGUACCAUAUGAAUAAGGAUCGGCUAACUCCGUGCCAGCAGCCGCGGUAAUACGGAGGAUCCGAGCGUUAUCCGGAUUUAUUGGGUUUAAAGGGAGCGUAGGUGGAUUGUUAAGUCAGUCGUGAAAGUUUGCGGCUCAACCGUAAAAUUGCAGUUGAAACUGGCAGUCUUGAGUACAGUAGAGGUGGGCGGAAUUCGUGGUGUAGCGGUGAAAUGCUUAGAUACCACGAAGAACUCCGAUUGCGAAGGCAGUUCACUGAACUGCAACUGACACUGAGGCUCGAAAGUGUGGGUAUCAAACAGGAUUAGAUACCCUAGUAGUC